CGGUGAAUACGUUCCCGGGUCUUGUACACACCGCCCGUCACACCAUGGAAGUUGGUUCCGCCUUAAGUCGCCUUUAACAAGCGCCCACGGCAGGGUCAAUGACUGGGGUG
rnacentral:rRNA from 1 species